rnacentral:rRNA from 1 species
AGUGAACGCUGGCGGUAGGCCUAACACAUGCAAGUCGAACGGCAGCACAGGAGAGCUUGCUCUCUGGGUGGCGAGUGGCGGCCGGGUGAGGAAUACAUCUGAAUCUACUCUGUCGUGGGGGAUAACGUAGGGAAACUUACGCUAAUACCGCAUACGACCUACGGGUGAAAGCAGGGGACCUUCGGGCCUUGCGCGAUUGAAUGAGCCGAUGUCGGAUUGGCUAGUUGGCGGGGUAAAGUCCCACCAAGGCGACGAUCCGUAGCUGGUCUGAGCGGAUGAGCACCCACACUGGAACUCAGAAACGGUCAAGACUCCUACGGGAGGCAGCAGUGGGGAAUAUUGGACAAGGGUCGCAAGCCUGAUCCAGCCAUACCGCGUGGGUGAAGAAGGCCUUCGGGUUGUAAAGCCCUUUUGUGGGGAAAAAAAUCCAGCUGGCGAAUACCCUGUUGGGAUGACGGUACCCAAAGAAUAAGCACCGGCUAACUUCGUGCCAGCCGCCGCGGUAA